AGUGAACGCUGGCGGUAGGCCUAACACAUGCAAGUCGAACGGCAGCACAGUAAGAGCUUGCUCUUACGGGUGGCGAGUGGCGGACGUGUGAGGAAUACAUCGGAAUCUACUUUUUCGUGGGGGAUAACGUAGGGAAACUUACGCUAAUACCGCAUACGACCUACGGGUGAAAGCAGGGGAUCUUCGGACCUUGCGCGAUUGAAUGAGCCGAUGUCGGAUUAGCUAGUUGGCGGGGUAAAGGCCCACCAAGUCGACGAUCCGUAGCUGGUCUGAGAGGAUGAUCAGCCACACUGGAACUGAGACACGGUCCAGACUCCUACGGGAGGCAGCAGUGGGGAAUAUUGGACAAUGGGCGCAAGCCUGAUCCAGCCAUACCGCGUGGGUGAAGAAGGCCUUCGGGUUGUAAAGCCCUUUUGUUGGGAAAGAAAAGCAGCAGGUUAAUACCCCGCUGUUCUGACGGUACCCAAAGAAUAAGCACCGGCUAACUUCGUG
rnacentral:rRNA from 1 species